rnacentral:misc_RNA from 1 species
GAUGAAGAACGUAGCGAAAUGCGAUAAGUAAUGUGAAUUGCAGAAUUCAGUGAAUCAUCGAAUCUUUGAACUCACAUUGCGCCCGCCAGUAUUCUGGCGGGCAUGCCUGUUCGAGCGUCAUUACAACCCUCAGGCCCCCGGGCCUGGCGUUGGGGAUCGGCGGAGCCCCCCGUGGGCACACGCCGUCCCCCAAAUACAGUGGCGGUCCCGCCGCAGCUUCCAUCGCGUAGUAGCUAACACCUCGCGACUGGAGAGCGGCGCGGCCACGCCGUAAAACACCCAACUCUUCUGAAGUUGACCUCGAAUCAGGUAGGAAUACCCGCUGAACUUAAGCAUAUCAAUAAGCGGAGGA